GCACAUCUCAGAACAGAAAUACCAAAUAGUUGUUUUUCCUCGAUUAUAUGAAUUUUUAGAUCGUCUGGAGCUACAAUAGUAAUCAUGAUUAAAAUUUGAUUAACCAAGCCAACCCUAACUUACAUUAAUUUUCAUACAAUUGAUAUUGAUCACUUGUUUUUAUCCAAUCCCAUUACCUCCCACAUUGCUACCAUCAGUUCUGAGUCUAAACAGUGUGUCUUAAAUUGUGGUUAUUGGCAAAGUUUAGUUUACCAACUAACCCCAAAUAUUUUAGAAUUGGAGUUGUGGCUUUUUAUUGUAUCUCAGGAGACGACUUGUUCCACAGUUUAUAAAUAAGGGCCCUGCUUUUUGUGCAUGUCAUUUAACAUGUAAUGAUUUUCUUUUUUGUGUUUUAAUUAAAAGCUAUGGACGGUAUGUGGAAGGAACUGGCUCAGUAUUGCAAUGCGACCUGGAGACAGAGAUCGAGUGUGUGUUUAAAAAUCUGGACCAAUUCUCGGAAGAAGAAAAACUUCAACAACUGCAGGGACUGAAGCUUCGUUAUUUUACCCCAAGAGAAGUCGCCAACAUAAUGGGCUUCCCAAAAAGCUUUUCUUUUCCAGAUCAAAUCCCCACCAGGCAGUGUUACAAACUUCUAGGAAACAGCCUCAAUGUUGUGGUGGUGACAAGACUGCUACACCAGUUGCUCUCCAAGUGGUGAGCAAUGGAGGCAAAUAAAGUUGCCAUUCCAGGUAUUAUUUAAAGCAGCACUGUCAAGAAUUUGGACCUUCCUUAAAAUGUAUUUGUAACCGUUUUGAUGAAAUCUCGAUUUAGAACUACAGUAAUCCCACGUUUAUCGUGAAUAAUUGGUUUCAAGACCACCCGCAAUAUGUGAAAAUCCGCGAAGUAGUGUCACCCUUUUUUUAACAUACAUAAAUUGUUUAUGUAUCAAUAAGUGUAUAUUAAACCAUAUAAGUGCAUAUGUUAUCAUUAGAACAUUAAAUAAUAGUUUCAAACAAGUAAAUACUACGUAUAUUAAUACGUAGUGUAAAUGACAUACAGAAACAAUGGAUAAAUAAUAUAAAUAUAAAUAUGAUACGUGUGUGUGCGCGCGCGUGUGCGUUUGUCAAAGUCAAAGUCUGCUUUAUUGUCAAUUUCUUCACAUGUCAAGACAUACAAAGAGAUCGAAAUUGCGUUUCCUACUAUCCCACGGUGACAAGACAUAUUACACAUUCAAGGAAACAAUAAAAAAAGUAAAAAUAAGAAGGCACAUACAAUGAAUAAAUAAGAGCAAUGAAUAAAUAAGAGCAACUUAGUGGAAAUGGUGGCAUACAGCAGACAGUCAGUAUAAAAGUACAGGAGGAGUAGUGCAAGUGGAGGAGUGCAAGGCAGCCAUCGUGGCCUAAAAGGUCAGGACAUCAUGUAGCCGAGGGUGGAGGGGGGAGAGGAUGGAGAGAGUUCAGGAUCCUAACAGCCUGGAGUAUGAAGCUGUUGGUUCCAAAAACCACCCGCAAUAAGUGAAAUCCGCGAAGUAGGGUCACCCGCUCAUCUGUACAUUUUUUGUGUGUCAAUAAAUGUAUAUGAAACCA